AUAAAUAAACAACAAAAUUAAUUAUUACCUUUGAGUUGAAGUUAAUUGCAUAAACAGCUGUAUUAAUUUAGAAUAUUAAUUAGCGUUGAAAUUUUAGACAGGAGAAAAUCAACUAAUACAUUUGAUUGUUAAUAAUAAUUGCAAAAGAUUUAUUCUAAAAUAAAUUAAAAAAAAAAAAGAUUUUAUUAGCAUUGAAACUGAUUAAUUCCCGCGAGAGAGCGCCUAUUCCAGUCUCCUUAUGGGUUUAGAUACUUGUGAUCCAAACAAGAAUUUAAUUAGUUACCGUUGAAAGAAAAACCCAACAAAUUACCUAUAAAUUUGGACACUUACCCUCUGUUAUUGUAUUCACGCUAAUUGAUCCAACACACUUACAUUCUUUUUGUCUUAUUGAGAGCUUUUAUUUCUGUUUCUUCCUUUUAUGCUUUGAUAACCGCCAUCAACACUCACCGCAGAGGUGUUUGUUCUUCCGCCACUGAUUCCCCGCACAAUAGCGAGCUUUCCGUUUUCAUCACCGCUGGUUUUGGUUCAUCUAUCACCGGCAUCGGUGGUUCCGCCAACCAACAAGUCACCUGAAGUUUCUCUUUUCAUCAACGCCAACUACUCCGUCGUUUCGCAGGUUUUCUAUUUCGUUUUAGAAAAGGUUUUCGCAUUUUGUUUAACGUCGUUUCGCAGGUUUUCUAUUUUUUUUUUUAGAAAAGGUUUUGGCAUUUUUGUUUAAUUUCUUUAUGGUUAAUACUAAAAUUAUAUUAUUUAUCACUCUCACUUAUUCUUAUUUUCAAUUGCUAAUUGUUUCUAUUUCUUUAUAUAUUUUUAGUGCAAAAAAUGGAGAAUCAACAUUAUCAUGCAAUAAGAGCAACAGGAGUAACCGAAGAAGUCAACUUUUACCAUGGAGUGUCGUUUUUAUAGUACUGUACGAGAAGGACAUUCUAUUCUUAAUGAAAACAACAUCAAUGAUAUUAGGGAGGUUUCAAAAUGACAAGAACA
rnacentral:lncRNA from 1 species